rnacentral:tRNA from 1 species
GUCUUUGUAGUAUACUCAAUACACUGGUCUUGUAAACCAGAAAAGGAGAGC